GGGUCAGUAGCUCAGUGGUAGAGCAGGCGUCUUAUAAGCGCCAGGUCGGAGGUCCGAUCCCUCCCUGGCCCA
rnacentral:tRNA from 1 species